rnacentral:rRNA from 1 species
AUUGAACGCUGGCGGCAGGCCUAACACAUGCAAGUCGAACGGUAACAGGAAGAAGCUUGCUUCUUUGCUGACGAGUGGCGGACGGGUGAGUAAUGUCUGGGAAACUGCCUGAUGGAGGGGGAUAACUACUGGAAACGGUAGCUAAUACCGCAUAAUGUCGCAAGACCAAAGAGGGGGACCUUCGGGCCUCUUGCCAUCGGAUGUGCCCAGAUGGGAUUAGCUAGUAGGUGGGGUAACGGCUCACCUAGGCGACGAUCCCUAGCUGGUCUGAGAGGAUGACCAGCCACACUGGAACUGAGACACGGUCCAGACUCCUACGGGAGGCAGCAGUGGGGAAUAUUGCACAAUGGGCGCAAGCCUGAUGCAGCUAUGCCGCGUGUAUGAAGAAGGCCUUCGGGUUGUAAAGUACUUUCAGCGGGGAGGAAGGGAGUAAAGUUAAUACCUUUGCUCAUCGACGUUACCCGCAGAAGAAGCACCGGCUAACUCCGUG